rnacentral:rRNA from 1 species
UGAAGUAAAAAAGCGUAACAAGGUUUCCGUAGGUGAACCUGCGGAAGGAUCCCGUUUGUGACUGCGGAGGA